ACGUAGGUGGCAAGCGUUAUCCGGAAUUACUGGGCGUAAAGGGUGUGCAGGCGGGGUUGCAAGUGGUGUAUGAAAUAUCCCAGCUUAACUGGGAGGGGUUAUGCCAGACUGCAACUCUAGAGGACGAGAGAGGGGGGUGGAAUUCCGGGUGUAGUGGUGAAAUGCGUAGAGAUCCGGAGGAACCCCAGAGGCGAAGGCGGCCCCCUGGCUCGUACCUGACGCUCAGCCACGAAAGCAUGGGGAGCGAACGGG
rnacentral:rRNA from 1 species